rnacentral:rRNA from 1 species
CUGCCAGUAGUCAUAUGCUUGUUUCAAGGACUAAGCCAUGCAAGUCUCAGUGUCCUUACGGGAUCAAUAGGGACUGACGGGGUCGUACGUACUUCCACGUCAGAGGUGAAAUUCUUAGAUCGUGGGAAGACGAACUUCUGCGAAAGCAUUCGACAAGAAUGUCUUCAUUAAUCAAGAACGAGAGUGUGGGGAUCGAAGAUGAUCAGAUACCGUCGUAGUCCACACUGUAAACUAUGCCGUCUCAGGAUUGAGAAGCGAACAGAAUGACUUUCACAGCACUAACCCCUGAAGCGAGAAAUCAAAGAUUAUGGGUUCAGGGGGGAGUACAUUCGCAAGGCUGAAACUUAAAGGAAUUGACGGAAUGACACCACAAGGCGUGGAGUAUGCGGCUUAAUUUGACUCAACACGGGGAAUUUUACUAGGUCAGGACAAUGUAAGGAUUGACAGAUUGAGAGCUCUUUCUCGAUCCAUUGUGUGGUGGUGCAUGGCCGCUCCUGGUUGGUGGAGUGAUUUGUCUGGUUGAUUCCGUUAACGAACGAGAUCUCGACCCUUAAAUAGGUGCCCAUGUCGAUUGUAGUUUCGCUUCUGCCCGCUUGCGGGAUUUGAGCGGGACGAGACUGUGGGAAUACUUCUUAAGGGGACUGUGUGCGUCUCUAGCACGCGGAAGAGCGAGCCAAUAGCAGGUCUGUGAUGCUCCUAAAUGUCCUAGGCUGCACGCGCACUACACUGAUGCAAUAAACGAGUCUGAGUGCCUUCUGGCAACCUACCUUGAAGAGGGUGGGAAAUCUUUUGAACUUGCAUCGUGAUGAGGAUCGACGAUUGCAAUUAUUCUCCUUGAAUGAGGAAUGCCUAGUAGGCACAAGUCAUCARCUUGUACUGAUUACGUCCCUGCCAUUUGUACACACSSCCSKYSKUKSYWMYKRWUKGSYKKWRGGKWAGAGUUGGGCGGACUCCGAUCAGUUGGGGUGACUCUUCUGGUUGGGGGAAACCCGUCAAUAUUCUGCAGCUAGAAGAAGCAAAAGUCGUAACAAGGUAGCUGUAGGUGAACCUGCAGAAGGAUC